CAGCAGCCGCGGUAAAACCAGCACCUCAAGUGGUCAGGAUGAUUAUUGGGCCUAGAGCAUCCGUAGCCGGCUCUAUAAGUUUUCGGUUAAAUCUGUACGCUCAACGUACAGGCUGCCGGGAAUACUGCAGAGCUAGGGAGUGGGAGAGGUAGACGGUACUCGGUAGGAAGGGGUAAAAUCCUUUGAUCUAUUGAUGACCACCUGUGGCGAAGGCGGUCUACCAGAACACGUCCGACGGUGAGGGAUGAAAGCUGGGGGAGCAAACCGGAUUAGAUACCCGGGUAGUCCCAGCUGUAAACUAUGCAAACUCAGUGAUGCAUCGGCUUGUGGCCAAUGCAGUGCUGCAGGGAAGCCGUUAAGUUUGCCGCCUGGGAAGUACGUACGCAAGUAUGAAACUUAAAGGAAUUGGCGGGGGAGCAC
rnacentral:rRNA from 2 species